UGACCCCGAGACCGAUAGCGAACAAGUACCGUGAGGGAAAGUUGAAAAGCACUUUGAAGAGAGAGUUCAAGAGUACGUGAAACCGCUUAGUAGUAAACGGAGGGACUCUCGAAGUCGGCGGUGACGGUUCAGGGUGACGGCGGGGCGGCCUGGGGGCGUGGGAUCCGCAAGGACCCUGUCCCUUUGUCAGCUCUGUCGGCGCCUGCACUUCGUUGCCGCCAUACGCGAUGAACCGUUUCUGGCGGACCGAGGGCGUGGGUGAAGUUUGUUGGCCUCGGCUUUCAAGCCCCGCGUUCCUGGCUCUGUCGGGGACGGGUAGUAGAGCGAUCUCUUAUAGAGAGUGCCCUUGCUGGCACGGUUCGCAUCUCUAUCGCGAGUAGGUCGGCGGUCCCUCCGACCCGUCUUGAAACACGGACCAAGGAGUUUAACAUGUGCGCGAGCCAUUGGGUGUUCGAAACCCAAAGGCGCAGUGAAAGCAAAGUCUGACUUGUCAGAUGAGGGGUGAUCCUUCACGGGCGCAACCCCGGAGCUUCGCAUCGACCUCGCUUCGUGCGGAGCAUCAAGAGCGUACACGUUGAGACCCGAAAGAUGGUGAACUAUGCCUGGCCAGGUUGAAGUCAGGGGAAACCCUGAUGGAGGACCGUAGCGAUUCUGACGUGCAAAUCGAUCGUCGGAGCUGGGUAUAGGGGCGAAAGACUAAUCGAACCAUCUAGUAGCUGGUUCCUUCCGAAGUUUCCCUCAGGAUAGCUGGUGCUCGUAAUCGAGUUUCAUCCGGUAAAGCGAAUGAUUAGAAGUAUUGGGGGCGAAACGCCCUCAACUUAUUCUCAAACUUUAAAUGGGUGAGAAGCGGGACUUGCUUAAUUGAAGCCUCGCAACGAAUCGGAGUGCCUAGUGGGCCAUUUUUGGUAAGCAGAACUGGCGCUGUGGGAUGAACCGAACGUUGAGUUAAAGUGCCAAAGUGUGCGCUCAUCAGAUCCCAUGAAAGGUGUUGGUUGCUUAAGACAGCAGGACGGUGGCCAUGGAAGUCGGAAUCCGCUAAGGAGUGUGUAACAACUCACCUGCCGAAGCAACUAGCCCUGAAAAUGGAUGGCGCUAAAGCGCGCCACUUAUACUCAACCGUUGGAGCAGAGCCGGCUCUUUGCAGCCCUGACGCUCCAACGAGUAGGAAGGUCGCGUGGGUGGCGCCGAAGGCUUUUGGGUGUGAACCUGGCCGGAGCCGCCCACGGUGCAGAUCUUGGUGGUAGUAGCAAAUACUCCAGAGAGGCCCUGGAGGACCGAUGUGGAGAAGGGUUUCGUGUGAACAGCCGUUGAACACGAGUCAGUCGAUCCUAAGGCUUAGGGGAAACCUUAAUCAAGCGUGCGGCGUUUCGACUGUGAAACCGCAACUUGGCCGAAAGGGAAUUUGGUCCUUAUUCCAAAACCUGGCCGUGGAACCGUUUCGGAAUCUCGCAUUCCGUCGUGGCAACGCGACACGACUGGGAGACGCCCACCGAAGCUCUGGGAAGAGUUGUCUUUUCUGCAUAAGCCGCCGAGGCCCUGGAAUCCUCUCGCAGGGCGAACGGGUUUUGGUUUUGGCGAAGAUCCUCGCAGUUCUCGCGAGGACCACGAGUGGUCGGUGGGACCUUGAAAAUCCCAGGGAGAUUACGGCGGACUCACGCCAGCUCGUACCCAUAUCCGCAGCAGGUCUCCAAGGUGAACAGCCUCUGGUCGAUAGAAUAAUGUAGGUAAGGGAAGUCGGCAAAUUGGAUCCGUAACUUCGGGAUAAGGAUUGGCUCUGAGGGUUGGGGCGGUCGGGCUUUGCACAGGAAGCGGCUGCGUCCACCGGCGGGCCUGGGCAAGUCCCACGAGGGUCGAACCCGGUCCCGUUCACGGGCCUCCGUGGAUUGUCAUUGCUUUGCGGGCUCGGCUUCGCGGCCGAUGUCCCGUUCGGUCGUCAAUCAACAACCAACUCAGAACUGGCACGGACAAGGGGAAUCCGACUGUCUAAUUAAAACAAAGCAUUGCGAUGGUCAGAGAGUGAUGUUGACGCAAUGUGAUUUCUGCCCAGUGCUCUGAAUGUCAAAGUGAAGAGAUUCGUCCAAGCGCGGGUAAACGGCGGGAGUAACUAUGACUCUCUUAAGGUAGCCAAAUGCCUCGUCAUCUAAUUAGUGACGCGCAUGAAUGGAUUAACGAGAUUCCCACUGUCCCUAUCUACUAUCUAGCGAAACC
rnacentral:rRNA from 1 species